GAGCUUUGCGCUGUGCUUUUUAAGCUUUGCGCUGGGCUUCUAGUUGGCCGACUGGCAACGCCAGAACGCCCAGUCUGGCUGAGCAGCUGAUGAUAGCGCAGCCCUCGUCGUCAGCUGAUCGUGGGUGUACGAUUGUUAUUGUUUACCAGUAGUUGUGGUCAAUUGUACUGGAACCAACAACAAUUUCCCUCGCUGCCGUCAAUUCUGCCAAUGCGUCUCCUGGUGACACGGCUGCCUCCGACGUCCAGCAGCAGGUGCCCCGACCGACCAGCGAUCAAAAGGAGCGACUUCAAAACGCGACCGGCUUGUGGAAAAUUCGCACACUGUCCCUGUGUGUGUGUGUGUGUGUGUGUGUGUGUGUGUGUGUGUGUGUGUGUGUGUGUGUGUGUGUGUGUGUGUGUGUGUGUGUGUGUGUGUGUGUGGGUGUGUGUGUGUGUGUGUGUGUGUGUGUGUGUGUGUGUGUGUGUGUGUGUGUG